rnacentral:rRNA from 1 species
GCGAAAGCCUGAUCCAGCAAUACCGCGUGUGUGAAGAAGGCCUUAGGGUUGUAAAGCACUUUCAAUUGGGAGGAAAACCUACCGGUCAAUACCCGGUAGCUUGACAUUACCUUUAGAAGAAGCACCGGCUAACUCCGUGCCAGCAGCCGCGGUAAUACGGAGGGUGCGAGCGUUAAUCGGAAUUACUGGGCGUAAAGCGUGCGUAGGCGGUUCGUUAAGUCAGAUGUGAAAGCCCUGGGCUCAACCUGGGAACUGCAUUUGAAACUGGCGGACUAGAGUUUAGUAGAGGGGAGUGGAAUUUCAGGUGUAGCGGUGAAAUGCGUAGAUAUCUGAAGGAACACCAGUGGCGAAGGCGACUCCCUGGACUAGAACUGACGCUGAGGUAC